rnacentral:rRNA from 1 species
UACGAGGGGGGCGAGCGUUGUUCGGAAUUACUGGGCGUAAAGCGUGCGUAGACGGUAGCGUAAGUCAGAUGUGAAAGCCCCGGGCUCAACCUGGGAACUGCAUUUGAGACUGCUCUGCUCGGGUGCGGAAGAGGGAAGCGGAAUUUCCGGUGUAGCGGUGAAAUGCGUAGAUAUCGGAAGGAACACCAGUGGCGAAAGCGGCUUCCUGGUCCGACACCGACGUUCAGGCACGAAAGCGUGGGGAGCAAACAGG